CCCAACAUAUACAAGAAGAGAACACACCUCUUUUACUUUCCUCAUGGUGUGUAAAGACUAAAGUGAUGCCAUUCCCCACCAAGACUCCAAGUUCUCUGGCAAGCUUCUGUAGAAGUGAAAAUAAUGAUGAUUUUAUUUUGAUUAUUAUAAUUUGGUCACCUGAAUUUAGAACCAGAAGUGAAGCAGACAUUUGAUGGUGUUGUGAAUAUUGUGAGUUAUAUGAUAUCUACUUUAAUUCACAACCUAUGAAUAAAUUCAUGUUGUCUUUUUAGAAGGUCAUAUAUCUCUUUUGGCUCAAAUCCUGCCAUGACACAUACCAAAUGUGUUCUUUGAGGGCCUUUUUCUCUCUGCUUAAGAGAUGACUAUGAGAAAGCAGCUGGUCUAGAUGUUCAGAGUGGCUGAAACCUCUCUCUUCUCCUUUUCCACUGUCCAGUCUCUCCUUUUCUUACCUAAAUUGAAUUCCAUUUCUUCACAUUUGAUUUCAGAGAGAUCAUGCUGCACAAAGGGACUGCAGAACUCAGAGGGAACUUUUGACAAGCGCUUUGGCAUAAGACGCAUAUCUCCCCACUCCCUUCAGCCUUCCCGGAGGGGCUCCAACUUUCAAUCUCUUGUUCACCUUUGCCGUAGCCUCAGAAACUCACUCUGCUGUCUGAAGUCUAGCUCUGGGCUGGGAGAGAAGAGAGACUGGCAAUGUAUGUCCUCGCAUCUUUCCCUGGAACAGAGCUGAUGGAAGAGGUUAAAUGGUAAUGACAAUGUUUUAAAAUUUUUAAUAUUUUUCUUGCCCACAUCAUAUUAUAUUUUUUGUGUUUAAAUUACAUAUUAUGUUUCCUUGCCCAUAUUAUAUUUGUUUUCAAAGUCGAAUUGUGCUCAUAUAGUAGGUCUGUGGACAUUAAUAAGGGUAUAUAUCUUUAGGUUUUGGAAGAGCAAAAAAGAAAAAAAGUAGGACAGUAUGUUCAUACAAUAUACUAAGAAUUACUCUGUAUAAUACAAGGCUAAGUUCAAUGGUGGCUUCUAGCACCAGGCUUCUCUGUCCAUGGAAUUCUCCAGGCAAGAUUACUGGAAUGGAUAGCCAUUCCCUUCUCCGGGUGAUCUUCCUGACCCAGGGAUCAGACCCAGGGAUCAAUCCCAAGUCUCCUGCAUUGCAGGUGGAUUCUUUACCAUCUGAGCCACCAGGGAAGCCCAGAUAAGCAAAAGGACCCCUAUUUUUGCUCAUGGGGUCCUUCCACUAAAAACAAUCAUUUCAGAAGAUAUCCUUUCAACUCUGCCCAACUGAUAUUUGAAAUUUUCCAUGAAUCCCGUUCUCUGCCCUCUGGGUUAAAUCACUAAUCUUGCCUUCAUUCUUGGGGAUGAGACCCUAGAUCCUAGCUAGAUACCACUUUUACCAGAACUUUACACAACUACUUCCAGGGCAGGCCUUGACUUGCUUUCUUGGGCAUCAAAACUUUUAGCUAAACAAAGUAAUAUAUCUUUUAUAAUUUAUUUUUGUGUUAAACUAAAUCCAUUUCUUAUUUGUUUGCCCAGUGUCCAACAAAUUUCAAUAUUUGGGGAUCAGAGACUCACAGAGAUGGCUUUAUUGUAAUUUGCAUUUUUCCUAAUUUCUAAAAGAACUUGAGAAACAAUUUGAAGCAUUCUUAGAUUUCGUUGUAGUUUUCAAAACAUGCUUGUGAGGGAGUUAAAUGAGAAACAGGUGCUUAAAAUAAACUAUUGCUAUUUUUAUGAAUCAUGUAUUUACUCUUGUGUCUUAGCAACAUAUCAUAGCAGUAAUCAAAGUACAAACAGAGUAGCUACUUGUCAAUCACCAUAAAGCAUGAGUUAAUGGCAAAGCAGGACACAGUGCUGGGAGAGAGGGUCCUAGAGGCUUCUAGGACCCCACAUGUGGUCUUUAGGACUCCACAAAGUCACCCAUGCUUAUUCUUAUUCAGUAAAGGGCCCCUAUCAUGGAAUAGGCAUUAGUCUAAGUACUACGGUUACUGCCCAAAAUAAAAAGAGACAAAAAUCACUGCCCUCAGAAGAAUCUACAUUUAGUUUUUGUUCCUACAUUUAUGGCCCACAGCACCUAACAGAGUUAGAAAUUGUACUUUUAAAAUGCAUUCCUUAUUUUGCAGCCAUUAAAAAUGAGUAUUUCUGAGAAAUUUACAAUCAUGUAGAAAAUGCUUCCUGGGUUAAAAUGUUAAAUGAGAAUUUGUAUAUGUAAAGUUGUAUUUGAAUCUGUUCUAAGUUAGAACUGAACACAGCUAUUAAUUAUCCCUUUUAACACACACACACACACACACACACACAGAGGUUACAAUAAACAGGCAUGUAGAGAAGACUAUAAGAAAAUACAACAUAAUGUUAAUGGUGCUUGUCCUUGAGUAAGGGAUGACAGGAAAUUCUGCUUUGUAAUUUUUGAAUCUUUCUUUUUUGGGUAGUAAUUACAUAUCAUCUUUCAAACGGAAGGACACAUGUCCAUUGAAAGAAAAUUACUGAAAAUUACUGAAAAAUCAAAAUUUUAGUAAACUUGAGAGGUAUUUUUCUAGGGCUUGUUUUCUAAGAACCGGAGGCUACAGGAUGAUCCAACUGGAUUUACUGUUUCCUUUCUCAAUGAAAGGGCUUUGGAGUUUACUAAUCACUGCAUUGAAGAUUCUCUUAUUUACCACUUUAGAGGAAGUAGAAGCAAGAAGGUUGAGUCAACUGGUUCUGUGUGUGCAAACAUACAGAGGUUGUCCAGCAUUGGAUGGUUGGUACACUAAUGCAAUUUCUAUUUUGAGAACCCACAUAAGAUGACUGUUUAGCACAUUCAAGACUGGUCAAUCUGGAAGGCAGGACUCUAGGACUUCUUUUAAAUUCCUGUUGUCAGGACAUCUGAACCCACCACCCAACACAUGGAUAGUAAGUUAAGGAGGAAGCAAAAGCUGCCUGGGCGAUUUCUUCUUCUUUUUAAUAAGAAGGAAACUCAAUCAAACUUUUGCAUACAAAUAUGAUAAAGUUCUGUUGCUCAGCUUUUAAUGAUAGCAUGGAAUUCUAAGUAAACAUGGAUGAAAUACAACUUGUCAGCACAAAAAUACCGCCUGUCAUAGUCAUUCGUGUAUAAAAUAUGACCCGCAGGUUUGAACCAUAUGGUUACAUGAGUUCUAAUUUACGUGGCAUCUUCUUAAGUCAGCAGAAUGCGUCCUGGCCUGCCUGUGGGAGAUGGAGUCAGCACCUCACUCAGUGAAGUAGAGAGGGCUCCUGGGGG
rnacentral:lncRNA from 1 species